GCGUAUUGUAUUAGACACAGCAUGAAAUUCUGAUUGUAUUCAACUAAAAUGCCACGUGAUGUCACAGGGUGAUGCUUAUGGUGAUGUCAUAGGGAUUUUUAACGACGAUUUGCAACGCAAAUGAAGUUACGCGAAACAGUUUGAUUGGUUCUGCAACCCGUUUCUUGGCACAUUAUCGUCAAAUACUGCAGUAUCUGUCUGUGUUGCGAUACAAACUGGGUCAAAAUGGCACCGCACGUUUAUGUAGGAACUGGAAGAAUACCAACAAUAAACAUAACAUUUCAUUGCGGUGUAUUGCCGGUGUUGGGAUUCAUGUUAUACUCGUUCAUGGUGUUUUUAUAUCUCAAUCAAAGAUGCCUUAAAACUACGUCAGUCGCUGGAAUACUGCACAUAGUUGUGCUGAAGGAUUGGAAUGUCGAAAGAGAAUAUGAAUCGUACCGGCGCCGAAGUUACGAUUUUAGUUCGCAGGGAAGAUUUAAACCAGGGAAGAAAAAAGGACCUGUAGAAUACGGCAAGUGUUAUUCUUCCAAGAAUAAACUCCAACCGUUUAUGGAACGUUGUGUGGGCCACGAAAUAUAUUAGUUUCGACGGACAUACGUUACUCAUUAUGAUGAAUUAGGUGAUAAGGAACUUUAAACAAGGGGAUGAUGGAUUUGAUGUCUAUUAUAUUCUAUUAUAUCGAACAUGUUUGAAUGGUAGAAUGACUUUUAUGAUAAUCCUAUAUACUCAAAAUGUGUGAAGGUCAAAAUAAUCUGAUGCAAAUAAAUGUUUACGUUUCUAAAUUUGUUGAGAAAUAUUCAUCUAUGCGAGAAACAUUCAAGUCACAUACACACAUUGUCCAUGGGUUAUAGUAACUCACAUAUUUCACAAGUAUUAAGUAAGAUGUCUAACUUAUGGGCCCCAAAUUAUACGUAAAAACCCUCAAAAGUGGUUUGUCAUCUGUAGUUUUUCAAUACAUUGAAGUUGGUUGAAUAAUCUCGCUGGCGCCAUUUUCAACAAACUUUUCCGUGUUUGGAAGUGAUAAACGAAUUCUAGCAAAAUAAUACUACAUUAUACAUAAUGUUAUAAUAUCAAACCGUUAUUAAGGCCAUGUUAGACAAGGAAAUUUUUGCUACAACUUGUAACGAAAUUUCCCAGAAAAAAUGACAAAAUUGCAAGCAAGUUGCAGUAAAACGUGCCUCUAUAACAUAGUGUUAAAAAUUCCCCAAGGCCUCCCUUGAAGAACCCCAUUUCAAAAAUUUAUAGGACAUAACUGUUUCGAGACCAUAACUUGUUUCACUAUGUUCGUACAUCCUACCUGAGCAGAGACCAACCUUCUCAAACCCAGGUGAGUGACUCCAACCCCAAUAACUUGGGGAUCACUUCCUCCCAAUUGUUGCCCAACUGUAGUCGAGUACACGCACACGGUACCAACUUGUCAGCGGUCUUUAGCCACGUCAGCGCCUUAGCAACCUUGGCCUGCAACUCGACCUCAGACCCAUCCGAGCUCUCGUGCAUUUUAAAUGGCGGUUUCAGUUGAAGCGGGAAAGCGGCUGGCUUGUGAUGACGUAGGUAUGCGAGAACAAGUAAUGUAGCUAACAUUUUGCAAAGUAUGGUAUAUAUACGAGUCCCUAG
rnacentral:lncRNA from 1 species